AGAUUUGUCGCAAAGUAGAUAAUCUUCGAAAUGCAAAUAACUACAGGUCCGAGAUGGAUAAGUUUGACCACGUACAGUUAUAAUAAUAGAGGUAAGGUAUGUCCUUGUAAAUAGUUAGGUAACGCUAACAUACUAUAUUAUUAUAACUCUU
rnacentral:ncRNA from 1 species